rnacentral:misc_RNA from 1 species
AAGUCGUAACAAGGUUUCCGUAGGUGAACCUGCGGAAGGAUCAUUAACACGUUAUCCACGUAUCCACACCACACUGAACUAUGCUCCCUGUUAGAAGACUUCAAGGAUAUCUGUGCUUGACUAUUGUGGGCUUAUUGAGCUUCGGCUUGGUGAGCACGUCAUGCUUGCAGGUUCUGUCGGCCCCGGGGCCGAGGGCGAAUCCGAGACACAUUCUUUCAGGCUUAUUGAUUCUCUUGUCCGUGGCGAAAGCCAAUCCCAACCACUUUGGGCGACGAGACGACACCAUACCCCUUUCACCCUAUUUUACUAAUUUGACUGAUUAUAUAUUCUUCGGGAGAAAUCCUGUUGAAUCUCUAAGAUUUAUCUUAACUAAGCACAACUCUUAGCAAUGGAUAUCUUGGUUCUC